rnacentral:rRNA from 1 species
UAGGGAAUCUUCCGCAAUGGACGAAAGUCUGACGGAGCAACGCCGCGUGAGUGAAGAAGGAUUUCGGUUCGUAAAACUCUGUUGUUAGGGAAGAAAAAAUGUAUAGUAACUAUAUACAAAAGAGACGGUACCUCAAGAAAAAGCCCCGGCUAACUACGUGCCAGCAGCCGCGGUAAUACGUAGGGGGCUAGCGUUGUCCGGAAUCACUGGGCGUAAAGGGUUCGCAGGCGGAAUAACAAGUCAGAUGUGAAAGGCAUGGGCUCAACCCAUGUAAGCAUUUGAAACUGUAAUUCUUGAGAAGUGGAGAGGUAAGUGGAAUUCCUAGUGUAGCGGUGAAAUGCGUAGAUAUUAGGAGGAAUACCUGUGGCGAAGGCGACUUACUGGACACAAAUCUGACGCUGAGGAACGAAAGCGUGGGUAGCAAACAGG